AGUGAACGCUGGCGGUAGGCCUAACACAUGCAAGUCGAACGGCAGCACAGUAAGAGCUUGCUCUUACGGGUGGCGAGUGGCGGACGGGUGCGGAAUACAUCGGAAUCUACUUUUUCGUGGGGGAUAACGUAGGGAAACUUACGCUAAUACCGCAUACGACCUACGGGUGAAAGCAGGGGAUCUUCGGACCUUGCGCGAUUGAAUGAGCCGAUGUCGGAUUAGCUAGUUGGCGGGGUAAAGGCCCACCAAGGCGACGAUCCGUAGCUGGUCUGAGAGGAUGAUCAGCCACACGGGAACUGAGACACGGUCCAGACUCCUACGGGAGGCAGCAGUGGGGAAUAUUGGACAAUGGGCGCAAGCCUGAUCCAGCCAUACCGCGUGGGUGAAGAAGGCCUUCGGGUUGUAAAGCCCUUUUGUUGGGAAAGAAAAGCAGCAGGUUAAUACCCCGCUGUUCUGACGGUACCCAAAGAAUAAGCACCGGCUAACUUCGUG
rnacentral:rRNA from 1 species